GCACAAGCGGUGGAGCAUGUGGUUUAAUUCGACGCAACGCGAAGAACCUUACCAGGGCUUGACAUCCCCUGACCGCGUAUGAAAGUACGUUUUCACCCUCGGGUGACAGGGAGACAGGUGGUGCAUGGUUGUCGUCAGCUCGUGUCGUGAGAUGUUGGGUUAAGUCCCGCAACGAGCGCAACCCCUACGUUUAGUUGCUAACGCGUGAAGGCGAGCACUCUAGACGAACUGCCGUUGACAAAACGGAGGAAGGUGGGGAUGACGUCAAAUCAUCAUGCCCCUUACGUUCUGGGCUACACACGUGCUACAAUGGCCGGUACAGACGGACGCAAAGCCGCGAGGUGGAGCAAAUCCUAAAAAGCCGGUCUCAGUUCGGAUUGCAGGCUGCAAUUCGCCUGCAUGAAGUCGGAAUCGCUAGUAAUCGCAGGUCAGCAUACUGCGGUGAAUACGUUCCCGGGUCUU
rnacentral:rRNA from 1 species